rnacentral:rRNA from 1 species
GACGAACGCUGGCGGCGUGCUUAACACAUGCAAGUCGAACGGAAAGGCCCUGCUUUUGUGGGGUGCUCGAGUGGCGAACGGGUGAGUAACACGUGAGUAACCUGCCCUUGACUUUGGGAUAACUUCAGGAAACUGGGGCUAAUACCGGAUAGGAGCUCCUGCUGCAUGGUGGGGGUUGGAAAGUUUCGGCGGUUGGGGAUGGACUCGCGGCUUAUCAGCUUGUUGGUGGGGUAGUGGCUUACCAAGGCUUUGACGGGUAGCCGGCCUGAGAGGGUGACCGGCCACAUUGGGACUGAGAUACGGCCCAGACUCCUACGGGAGGCAGCAGUGGGGAAUAUUGCACAAUGGGCGGAAGCCUGAUGCAGCAACGCCGCGUGCGGGAUGACGGCCUUCGGGUUGUAAACCGCUUUCGCCUGUGACGAAGCGUGAGUGACGGUAAUGGGUAAAGAAGCACCGGCUAACUACGUGCCAGCAGCCGCGGUGAUACGUAGGGUGCGAGCGUUGUCCGGAUUUAUUGGGCGUAAAGGGCUCGUAGGUGGUUGAUCGCGUCGGAAGUGUAAUCUUGGGGCUUAACCCUGAGCGUGCUUUCGAUACGGGUUGACUUGAGGAAGGUAGGGGAGAAUGGAAUUCCUGGUGGAGCGGUGGAAUGCGCAGAUAUCAGGAGGAACACCAGUGGCGAAGGCGGUUCUCUGGGCCUUUCCUGACGCUGAGGAGCGAAAGCGUGGGGAGCGAACAGGCUUAGAUACCCUGGUAGUCCGCGCUGUAAACGGUGGGUACUAGGUGUGGGGUCCAUUCCACGGGUUCCGUGCCGUAGCUAACGCUUUAAGUACCCCGCCUGGGGAGUACGGCCGCAAGGCUAAAACUCAAAGGAAUUGACGGGGCCCCGCACAAGCGGCGGAGCAUGCGGAUUAAUUCGAUGCAACGCGUAGAACCUUACCUGGGUUUGACAUGGAUCGGGAGUGCUCAGAGAUGGGUGUGCCUCUUUUGGGGUCGGUUCACAGGUGGUGCAUGGCUGUCGUCAGCUCGUGUCGUGGGAUGUUGGGUUAAGUCCCGCAACGAGCGCAACCCUUGUUCACUGUUGCCAGCACGUUAUGGUGGGGACUCAGUGGAGACCGCCGGGGCCAACUCGGAGGAAGGUGGGGAUGACGUCAAGUCAUCAUGCCCCUUAUGUCCAGGGCUUCACGCAUGCUACAAUGGCUGGUACAGAGAGUGGCGAGCCUGUGAGGGUGAGCGAAUCUCGGAAAGCCGGUCUCAGUUCGGAUUGGGGUCUGCAACUCGACCUCAUGAAGUCGGAGUCGCUAGUAAUCGCAGAUCAGCAACGCUGCGGUGAAUACGUUCCCGGGGCU